AUAUAUUUUGUAAAAAAAAAAAUCUGUUCUUAUCAGUUUAAUAUCUGAUACGUCCCCCAUCGGGGGACUACAUAUUAAAUGGAUUUUUCGAACAGGGAGUCGGAAAUGGGGCUUGCUCCGUCCGCUCCACGCAUCGACUCGGUAUUGCAGUACCUCCGGGAACGGUGCAACACUU
rnacentral:snRNA from 1 species